rnacentral:lncRNA from 1 species
CCUCGGUUUAUUAAUACAACAAAAUAUUUAUACAGCAAAAGUAGAGAGCGAUUGCGUGGGCUGGUUUCUAACAUUGCUGCAUACAGCUUGUCCCAUAUGCACAUAGGAAAUGUUACAAUUGCAAGUUUGUCCUGUAAGCACAUACCAGAGAUAGCGAGUUACAGUUUCAGCAUAAAGUUUCAAGCUAUUUCAGCAUAACAUUUCAAACUGUUUUGCUUCUGUAAGCAUGGAUUAACCCUUCAGUAAGCAGUAGUGGUGUUAAAACACAAUAUGGCAAUCUUGUGUAACUAAAUCCCAAUUACUUUGGAUAUGAAGCAUGAUUGUGUUAGAAUAUUUAAUUUAAGCAGAUUUUUCGUCCUCAUGGACUUUGAACAUCACAGUGAAACUUGAUUGUUGCAGAGGAAGCGCCUAUAGUGGAUGUCUUUCCUGUUUCACGUUGCAGGGCUAAAACUACAGAGAGCCACUGCACCUUCACCACUACACUGAGAUGAAGUAGUCUGGGUGACUUUAAUGGUCCUUUAAUAAAUUGUUUAUAGAGAUUUGUGGAGUGUGCACUGAUCUUUGUUUUUGUAUUAUGCAUAAAGUUCAGGCUUUAGCAGCAUCACUCUUUAUAAAAUAUGUUCUGAUCUUAUUUAGGUUUGGGGCUGGAGUGGUGUGGCGAUUGUUGCUGGGAGCAACUCAAAGAUACUGGUGUGAUCUCCCUAACCUUGGUAUAGGAUGACUGGUUUUCCGUGGAAGCUAUUUGACCUACAAUUUGGCAUUAUCUCUAUUUUUGUUUUCAUUUAUAUAUUGUAUGAUUUGUGACUCUACAGCAGUGAUGGUGUAAAAAACUAGAUGAAUGGAUGUUCAUGUAGAUUCUUCUUAAUUUCUUCUUGUCUUCAGUUGAUUGAUAUAUAUACGUCUUUUGUACAUAUAGUCUUGGGCCAAAUGCUCGCCACAAUAAUAUAUGUCUAUAUUAUUGAAAAGUACUAAUACGCAAUCUGACGUACGGUUUCUUCAGGUUUAUUCUUUGUUACGGAUACAUAAUAAAACAUAAUAAAUUAUGUAACAGGAUAAUGGACAUUCAACAGCAGAUGGUAAUUGCUGGACUUCUGAUGGGAGAGUUACAUCGUUGUACAGAGCCAAGAGCUAAGCCAAGUGUGAGAGACCUCGUGUCCCUCUGUUACUAUAUAGAAGUGCUAAUACUAACGUCAGCAUUUACCUCUAGCCAUAUAAGGACAAGACCCCCGAAUCCACAUUCCAGAGCUCUCGGACAAAGAAAGCCUUGUGACUUAUUGAUACCAUCUGUUACUUAUGUCAAUCCACACCUCCAUAUAUAUAAUCAAUAGAAAUAUAGAAUAUGCAAUAUUCUACAUUCCCUCUGUUUAUGGUUUGUUUUAAAACCAUAACACAAUGUCACUAACCUGUCCAUUCAUACAUCACUUGUAUCACAUUCAUUGAGCAUAGAACAAGAUGUAGUCACAAUUUUCUAUUAUAUGAGAGUUCUUAGAAGGUCGAGUUUCUAUCCCUCCUACUGCUUACUUUACUUCAAAACUCCCUCUGUUUCAGCUAUGUAUUGAUAUCCAUAUCCAUGUUACAUCAUAACUACUUGAACAUAAUAUAUACAUAUAUAACAAUAAUAAAUGAAUAAAAUAUUUACAAAUGUUGAUCCAAUAAACAAUAAAGCAAUCAGAAAGAUCUACCUGCUAUGUUACAGUCGUAUCUUUGUAGAUAACAAAAUCAAGAUGAUAACUUUCACUAUCAUAUUCCUACAGAUACAUAUAUAGUAUAGUAUUUUCAUUCUCAAUACCUGAUAUUACUAAAAUACUAAUACAUGUAUUACUAUAAUAUCCUGUCCAAUUAGAUUUCCAUGAAUCAUAUGGUUUCUAGCCACCUUAAAAUCUUUAGGUCAUUUGUAUUCAUGAAUUACAUUCCUAUACCAUUAAUACCAUCUAGUGAUGAUUGUAUCAGUACUUUACAAUCAUAGUAUUUAAUUUGUAUAUUCAGUAGGCUCUCACUACCUGAAAUAUACCAACACUACUUAUAAGUCUCAUUCAAAUGAUGUGUUAUCAACCAUGAAGUUCUAUAAUAAUUCUUCAAAUAAUGUUCAUGGUGUUGACAAUACUUAUUGUCCUAGAAAUUCUCCACCCAGAAAUCUUUCUAUCAUAGAUUUGUUUUUGUUUACAUAAUUAUAAUUUUCACUAAAAUUCCACCUUGUAGUAACAAACUUUUCAUUCAAUCGGAGAAUGGUUUACUUUAAAAUAACUUGGAAAGAAUAAUUUAAAUUCAUUAUCAUCACUCUCUUCAAUAGCAUUGUGAUGACUUAUUAAUGUAAUACAUCUUAAAAGCAGGAUUGUCCUAAUGUUCUGACCAAUCCGUAUUCCUUAGUACACUUCAACUGACUAAAAUAAAAUAAACAAAACUUGGGGUCAUACUGCCCAGAAACUCUUAUUCCUAGUCUGUGUCUAACAAACUCAGGGAAAUCAUAAAACAACUUAACAACUUAUUCAUUGGAUACCGUCAUAUCCAGAAACCUAUUCUCCCUAGUCCAUACCUUUUAUAGACUUAGGUCAAAUAUAAUUGUGUACUAUACUCUUUCCAUUCAAUUCAAUUCCUCUUGGAUCUCUGAACUCUUAUAUCCAAGGCCUUCUUAAUGUAUACCAUUACUUAAUAUAAAUCAAUAUAAAUUAUCCUUCCUUAGUUUUCUUCCUUAUGUUACCAUUGUUUGUUUUACUCUACCUCGAUUAUAAACAAAUUACUCAUUCUUGUGAAUCUAUGAAAUACUAUUGAACUCAAUCUUUGUGGUAUUAAGUAACCAUGAUCCUUAUUUUAUCAACUUCAUAUUUUAUCUACCUCUGAUACUUCUCAUUCUAUGUAUAGGUCAUAAUGUAAUAGUUCUCUUCAUAAUACUAUCCUUUCAUAAUUUUACUCCAUGUGUUACACAUUUAUAAGUACUCUCUCUUGGUAUUAAUACUCAUAACUGUUAUAUAACUUUCAUUGUCUGUUUUCUUCUUCAUUAAUAUUUAGGAAUAUAUAUGUAUGUUAGUGUCAAUCUUUUAUUUCUUUGUAAGUCUGUUAAUCUUCUGUAUCGAAUGAACUCUGUAGAAUCUUCCAUCACAGUUUGCAGAUCAGAUGAAAAGUCUCUUUCCAACAGUCGAUGUCCAGUUGUCUGAAGGAAUGCUUUCCUGAUUUAUUGCCACAUGGAUCUCUCAUGCUUUACCUACAUUAAAACAAAUAACAUGUGCAGCAUCAAUACAAUGGCUUACAAUGUUUAUAUCUCAUUAUUAUUAUACAGUUUAACAUUGAAUUACAUGGACUACACAACAUACUCAUUUCUUCUCAUGAGAUCUACCAUCUAGUGGUCAUUGCAUUUCUGCCAUGUGAUAUGUAAUCUUUAAAUUUCCUUUAUAUCAAAAUAUCUUUUCUACACAUUUUAAUUUUGCCAAACUUUUUAUUAAUCAUACCCCCCUUUUAAACUGUUUAAUAAUCUGGAGGUAUAACCUAAUCACAUGUCAGAUGUUACAAAAAAAUAUUGUUUUCCACUAUACUUUAGCAAUAGCAGCCAUCUUGUCUUAACACUGGCACCAUUUUGUCACAUGAAACAAACUACAAAAACAUAUAUUGUUUCCUUCAUCAAAUGUAUUUGUAAAUCUAGGUUUUAUUCUAUCAAAACUUUUGUCUUCUAUAUAAUCAAAACAUAUGUAUGUCCAGGCUUUGCAAAACAUAGUAAUCCAUUAUCAGUCAUGACAUUAAAAUCUCAUUCUCAUGAAUUAAAUCAAAGAUUUUAAAUCAACCUCAGAAGUAACAACAUUGUUUUUUCCUUCUGUAAAAUGAUUGGAGUUACUGUAUAAUCGCAUACACCCAAUAUAACAUACAUUGCAUGUGCCUAACUGCUACAUUAGUGUAUUUCAUUCUGCCAUAUUUGCAAACUUGAUGUAAAUUUUUAUUUCAAUUAAUUAACCUAAUACUUUCUUAUAACACACAUAAAACAAUGAAAAAACAGUACAGACUAACAAUUCAUUUAAAACAACAAACUAACAUAGAUCUCUAUUCUUGUGCUGUUCUUAAUUCUGGAAUCAGCCUGUGUACCUCUGUUGGCACACAUAUCCAUGCUCAUUCCCUAAACUGAUCAUAUCUCUUGAAGUUAUCUAAUUCGUAUAACUUUCUGUGUUACACUACAUUGCUUGUCUGUCUCCUAAUUUCGAUUUAGCUAAAAUUGCUUUUAUUUGUCUGAUUAUAAGUUUACAAGGAAAGGCUUUAAUUGAUUUAUCUCCACAUGUAUUUUCUCUGUCAAAAUUUUCAAUCAACAAAUUUAAUUUCUCAUUUGCUUUUGAUUUGAUAUCUCAGAUAAAAUAUCUGCAAGAUCUUAAAUAAUGUUGUUUAUUGCACCAAAAACAAAUAACUUUAGGAGUUAUAUUUUGCCCUAUAUUAUCAACUCUACAGUUUUUAGUUGAAUAAAUUGGGAGGGGCUCAGCUGUCUGUAUCACUCUACACUCUGUCCUAGAAGAAGAAGAAGGAGGAGUGUAAAAUCUGCACUUCUUCCUCUGCCUAAAUCCACAAGUCGUUUUAACCCCUUCAUUAUUGGUUUCCCUCCUUAAGUUAUCCAAGAACAAAGCUACUUCUGUCAAAGUGCUUUUUUCUCUAGCUAACACAAUUGCAGUUGGAUCUAGAUCUUGACAUUUUUCACAAAUUCAUUAAUUAACUGAUCUUCAGAAAAAUCAGCAACAAGUCUAUAUGCACUUUCAAAUUUUACAAGAAAACUAAAUAUAUCCUCUCCUUUGUGUGGUUUUAGUUUUUCCAACAUUUCAGUGUCUGCAAAAUCAUUCCCUGUUGUUAAUUUUAUUAAUUGUGUUAAUCUGUCUCGCUCAUUUCCAUGGACUAUUUCACCAUCUUCGUCAUUAGGGGUACUAAUGGGUGGAGUCAGUCUACGUGCAAUGUAUGUUGGCAGCCAUAUUUUAAAUAGUCUAUUCCUUUGUUCGUCAUUUAGGCUGUAUUUGUCUAAAUUAGACUCAAACAUUUCAGCAUUAGUAAAUGUAUCCACUGACGUGUCAUAAAACGGAAUACAUUUCACAAUUUUCAUUAAUUGUUCAUGGAUUUUCAAAUUAAGUUUUGCAGCUCUGUCUUGAAAUUUACAUUUCUGCAAAUCACUCUGUGAGGAUACAUUUUCAGUAUCUAUUGGUUCUGGUAUUAGAUUCUGUGCCUUUAUUUUUCUUGUAUUAACACACACUAGUUUAACUUCAUUUUCAAGCUGGCAAAUAAGAUCAUUUCUUAGUUCAACUCUAUCCUCUAAUUCACAGACUUUUUCUGACAAUGUUCUCUCUGUUACAUUGUUACACUGUUCAUUUAAAUCUGAUUUGUCUUCUGUUAACCCAUUCAAAUCUAUUUCUUUAUCUGCUGAUUCUAAAUUGUCUUGACCUGCAUCUCGUUUACAAAUCAAUGCAUUGUAAGUACAGACUAGUUUCAUAACAUUUCUGACCUUUUGUUUUUUCUUAUUAACAAACAAUUCCUUGUCAAUUUCAGUAUUGGCAAUUUCGCAUUGUGUGUAUAAAGAUUGCCACAAUACAGCAUCUGAAUAGCUGCUAUUAAAUGCAAACUGCAAUUUACUUUUCUCUGCAAUAUCACUUAUGAAUUCCAUGUUACUCACCAGAUCAGUUAUCUCUGUCUAUUUCGUUGCUUCAUCCACACAGCUGCGCAGUUCUUUGCUUGAAUCUGGAAAUUUGCCAGUCUCUGCCACGUGCUUGCUUCUAGAAUUCACGUUGUAUCUUGUGCUUUUCAUCUCAGUUGUAGAAAAUAGUCUUGUACAGUCUUUGUGAUUUGAAAAUGUUCUUUUUCUUACAAACACAGUUCUUCUAUGACAGUCAGUCUAGAUUCUUUUUUUCUCUUCAAGUUUGUUUUCCCAGUUCCAAAAUAGCUUUGUAACUCGAUUCUUCUCUCUCCCCCCUUGAAGUGGGAACAAAACUUGAAUAGAAGACUGGCUGGCUAGCCAAUGUAAAAAAAUGUAGAUGAAUGGAUGUUCAUGUAGAUUCUUCUUAAUUUCUUCUUAUCUUCAGUUGAUUGAUAUAUAUACGUCUUUUGUAUAUAUAGUCUUGGG